rnacentral:rRNA from 1 species
GUCUACGGCCAUGCUACCCUGAACAAGCCCGAUCCUGUCUGAUCUCAGAAGCUAAGCAGGGUCAGAUGGGAGACCACCUUGGAAUACCAGGUGUUGUAGGCA